CAAGGGUGCUGGGACCCUAACUCAUGUCCUCUGAAAGAGCAGCAUGUUCCUUUAACUGCUAAGCCAUCUCUCCAGCUUCCAUUUCAGAUUUCAGUUCUGCAGGAAAUAUGCCAGGGCUGAGCUUCUGUUUCCUAGCACCUUUGGUUUCUGACACCUGUUUGGCCUUUCCCGUGCCUGUGUGACCUCAGUUUGCCAUGAGCUGGGUAGGCAAGGAAAUCUCAAGAUGUUAGCUUGUUUCUACAAACUGAAGUUCUCUGACAAAGCCACAUUAAUAUGGAGGAAGCUGUAGAUUUCCUGAUCUCGGCCAUCGAGAACGUCAUGAUUGUGGAGAGAGAGAAGUUAAGAGUCAAAGCUGGCUUGGGAUUAUCUUUAGUUCCCUUUAAUAGUUGUUUACUGUCAACUUCUGCAUCUCACCUUGAAUUCUUACACUGCUGGAUGACUUUGAGAGUACCCAGUGAAGCCUGGCAGACUCUGACCUCCUGCAACCCUAAGGUUAAGGAUGCUGUUAAGAUGACAUAUGAGUCUUGCAGACAGAUUGCUCUGCCAUCCUGGAGCUUAACUGCUGAUCCCACCAAUGUAACUGGGACAUGUGUUGAUUUAUGGUUUCUUUUGUUUGGUGAGUGUACAACUUCAUGUAAUGUGGAACAUGUCAUUUCAGAGUAACUUGAAUACGUGUCCCUGAACUGUGGUCACUCAUAUUUGGGUCUGAAUAAAUCAUUUUCUUCGAGA